GACGUAGGGCGCGAGCGUUGUCCGGAAUUAUUGGGCGUAAAGAGCUCGUAGGCGGCUUGUUGCGUCGUCCGUGAAAUCCCGUGGCUCAACUGCGGGCUUGCGGACGAUACGGGCAGGCUAGAGUUCGGUAGGGGAGACUGGAAUUCCUGGUGUAGCGGUGAAAUGCGCAGAUAUCAGGAGGAACACCGGUGGCGAAGGCGGGACUCUGGGCCGAUACUGACGCUGAGGAGCGAAAGCGUGGGGAGCAAACAGG
rnacentral:rRNA from 1 species